UCUUUGGGUGACGAGCGGCGGACGGGUGAGUAAUGUCUGGGAAACUGCCUGAUGGAGGGGGAUAACUACUGGAAACGGUAGCUAAUACCGCAUAACGUCGCAAGACCAAAGUGGGGGACCUUCGGGCCUCAUGCCAUCAGAUGUGCCCAGAUGGGAUUAGCUAGUAGGUGAGGUAAUGGCUCACCUAGGCGACGAUCCCUAGCUGGUCUGAGAGGAUGACCAGCCACACUGGAACUGAGACACGGUCCAGACUCCUACGGGAGGCAGCAGUGGGGAAUAUUGCACAAUGGGCGCAAGCCUGAUGCAGCCAUGCCGCGUGUAUGAAGAAGGCCUUCGGGUUGUAAAGUACUUUCAGCGAGGAGGAAGGCAUUAAGGUUAAUAACCUUGUCGAUUGACGUUACUCGCAGAAGAAGCACCGGCUAACUCCGUGCCAGCAGCCGCGGUAAUACGGAGGGUGCAAGCGUUAAUCGGAAUUACUGGGCGUAAAGCGCACGCAGGCGGUCUGUCAAGUCGGAUGUGAAAUCCCCGGGCUCAACCUGGGAACUGCAUCCGAAACUGGCAGGCUAGAGUCUUGUAGAGGGGGGUAGAAUUCCAGGUGUAGCGGUGAAAUGCGUAGAGAUCUGGAGGAAUACCGGUGGCGAAGGCG
rnacentral:rRNA from 1 species